rnacentral:rRNA from 1 species
CCUACGGGGGACAGCAGUAGGGAAUAUUGCUCAAUGGGGGAAACCCUGAAGCAGCAACGCCGCGUGGAGGAUGAAGGUUUUCGGAUUGUAAACUCCUUUUGUUAGAGACGAUAAUGACGGUAUCUAACGAAUAAGCACCGGCUAACUCCGUGCCAGCAGCCGCGGUAAUACGGAGGGUGCAAGCGUUACUCGGAAUCACUGGGCGUAAAGAGCGCGUAGGCGGGAUAGCAAGUCAGAUGUGAAAUCCUAGGGCUUAACCAUAGAACUGCAUUUGAAACUGUUAGUCUAGAGUAUGGGAGAGGUAAGUGGAAUUCUUAGUGUAGGGGUAAAAUCCGUAGAGAUUAAGAGGAAUACUCAUUGCGAAGGCGACCUGCUAGAACAUAACUGACGCUGAUGCGCGAAAGCGUGGGGAGCAAACAGGAUUAGAUACCCGUGUAGUC